rnacentral:rRNA from 1 species
UACGAAGGGGGCAAGCGUUGUUCGGAAUUACUGGGCGUAAAGGGCGCGUAGGCGGCUUAUCAAGUCAGGCGUGAAAUUCCCGGGCUCAACCUGGGGGCUGCGCUUGAUACUGGAUGGCUUGAAUCCGGGAGAGGGAUGCAGAAUUCCAGGUGUAGCGGUGAAAUGCGUAGAUAUCUGGAGGAAUACCGGUGGCGAAGGCGGCAUCCUGGACCGGCAUUGACGCUGAGGAGCGAAAGCCAGGGGAGCAAACGGG